rfam:Pteropus alecto contig35755, whole genome shotgun sequence.
GUCUAUGGCCUUGCCACCCUGAACACGCCCGAUCUUGUCUGAUCUCGGAAGCUAAGCGGGGUCGGGCCUGGUUAGUACUUGGAUGAGAGACCACCUAGGAAGACCAGGUGCUGUGGGGG